UAUAUAUAUGUCACGGGGUGACGAAAGGGAAGCGGAACUAAGUCCCGCCGGAAUUUUGUGUUCCCCUCGGGACGGUGUCGCGGUAACACCGGUCCACUUCCGGGUUUCGCCCGAUGUCGCAAUAACAACGCUAAUGACAGAUUGACAUCUGGUGUGGGGAGUUUGAUGUGGCGAUCUGUGAGAGGAUUAUGGAGGCGGAGUAACCACAUAAAAAGAGAAGUGCAGAGACCAUGAGGAGGGUUGUGGAUUCUAUUUGGUCGUUCGUUCUCCCGGCUAUUCUUCCUGGUUGGCUUGCCCCUGUGUGUGGUUCUUCUCUUUGGACGUGUUCCCCUAGGAGAGGUGAAUUCCUGGGACGUUUGGGCUGGCGUGUGGAGGUAUUUGAAGACUAUUGUGGGGUUUCGGUUAUCUGGCUGUGUAACAGAUAUAUCAGCGAUCGAGUGGAGAUAUUCAGGACAGAAAGAGUGUGAGUUCUGGAAAGCAAGUGAAGACCAGACCGCGCCAUCGCUAUCGGAGGGAGGUUAAGAGACCUGAUCUGGGAUUUCAAUCAAUUGUAUACAUCUGGACUGGGACUGAUAACGUUGUGAAGUGGACGGAGUCAUCGUUGGAUCGCAGGAUCCUCUGGGCCGAAUGCCGCAUGUGAUGUCCCUAUGAAAAGAGAUCGCAGGAUCCUCUGGGCCGAAUGCCGCAUGUGAUGUCCCUAUGAAAAGAGGUGGACACAAGAAUUAUUCCUUUCCCGGUCACAACCGAAGCCUCUCCCAGCCGUAAGCCCACUACUUAUUCAAGAACGCAUACUUGCUGUUGAUUACCUACUCUGCUGUGCAGAUCGCAGGAUCCUCUGGGCCGAAUGCUGCAUGUGAUGACCCUGUAGAAAGAGGUGGACACACGAAUUAUUCCUUUCCCGGUCUUAACCGAAGCCUCUCCCAGCCGUAAGCCCCACUACUUAUUCAAGAACGCAUACUUGCUGUUGAUUACCUACUCUGCUGUGCAGAUCGCAGGAUCCUCUGGGCCGAAUGCUGCAUGUGAUGUCCCUGUAGAAAGAGGUGGACACACGAAUUAUUCCUUUCCCGGUCUUAACCGAAGCAUCUCCCAGCCGUAAGCCCCACUACUUAUUCAAGAACGCAUACUUACUGUUGAUUCCCUACUCUGCUGGGCAGAUCGCAGGAUCCUCUGGGCCGAAUGCUGUAUGUGAUGCCCCUGUAGAAAGAGGUGGACACACGAAUUAUUCCCUUCCCGGUCUUAACCGAAGCAUCUCCUAGCCGUAAGCCCCAUUACUUAUUCAAGGACACAUACUUACUGUUGAUUACUUACCCCGCUGUGCAGACCACAGGAUUCUCUGGGCCGAAUGCUGCAUGUGAUGUCCCUGUAGAAGGAGGUGGACACGAGAAUUAUUCCUUUUCCCGGUCUCGACCGAAACAUCCACGAGCUCUACUUACCCGGAUACCCUCUCUCACUCCGGGACGGGCGACAGACUACCCUGGCUCUUGCUGGCCCCGUACAGGCACAAACUGCCGACGACUCUACGCCUUCCCGGCGUCCGAGGUCUGGCUCCGUUCUGGUCGGGAGACACAGAAGGAACAAUGAACUUUUAAAUUGCUUUUAACCAAAUAAAACCUUGUUCAUUUUUUAUACUCUCGUCCGUCUGGUUUUUCUGGCACGCUCCCCGAGGUGAUCCUGGGUUUCAGGGGUGGGUGCAGUCCGGCUUGGCCCCCCGACCUG